rnacentral:rRNA from 1 species
UACGUAGGGUGCGAGCGUUGUCCGGAUUUAUUGGGCGUAAAGGGCUCGUAGGCGGCCUGUCGCGUCGGGAGUGAAAGCCCACUGCUUAACGGUGGGUCUGCUUUCGGUACGGGCGGGCUAGAGUAUGGCAGGGGAGACUGGAAUUCCUGGUGUAGCGGUGAAAUGCGCAGAUAUCAGGAAGAACACCCGUGGCUAAGGCGGCUCUCUAGUACGGUACUGACGCUGAGACGCGAAAGCGUGGGGAGCGAACAGG